AGCGUUAUCCGAGAUUUAUUGGGUUUAAGGGAGCGUAGGCGGAUUGUUAAGUCAGUUGUGAAAGUUUGCGGCUCAACCGUAAAAUUGCAGUUGAUACUGGCAGUCUUGAGUGCAGUAGAGGUGGGCGGAAUUCGUGGUGUAGCGGUGAAAUGCUUAGAUAUCACGAAGAACUCCGAUUGCGAAGGCAGCUCACUGGAGUGUAACUGACGCUGAUGCUCGAAAGUGUGGGUAUCAAACAGGAUUAGAUACCCUGGUAGUCCACACAGUAAACGAUGAAUACUCGCUGUUUGCGAUAUACAGUAAGCGGCCAAGCGAAAGCAUUAAGUAUUCCACCUGGGGAGUACGCCGGCAACGGUGAAACUCAAAGGAAUUGACGGGGGCCCGCACAAGCGGAGGAACAUGUGGUUUAAUUCGAUGAUACGCGAGGAACCUUACCCGGGCUUAAAUUGCAAAUGAAUUAUGGGGAAACCCAUACGCCGCAAGGCAUUUGUGAAGGUGCUGCAUGGUUGUCGUCAGCUCGUGCCGUGAGGUGUCGGCUUAAGUGCCAUAACGAGCGCAACCCUUAUCUUCAGUUACUAACAGGUUAUGCUGAGGACUCUGGAGAGACUGCCGUCGUAAGAUGUGAGGAAGGUGGGGAUGACGUCAAAUCAGCACGGCCCUUACGUCCGGGGCUACACACGUGUUACAAUGGGGGGUACAGAAGGCCGCUACCUGGUGACAGGAUGCCAAUCCCAAAAACCUCUCUCAGUUCGGAUCGAAGUCUGCAACCCGACUUCGUGAAGCUGGAUUCGCUAGUAAUCGCGCAUCAGCCAUGGCGCGGUGAAUACGUUCCCGGGCCUUGUACACACCGCCCGUCAAGCCAUGAAAGCCGGGGGUACCUGAAGUACGUAACCGCAAGGAGCGUCCUACGG
rnacentral:rRNA from 1 species